rnacentral:pre_miRNA from 1 species
AGAUUUCUGAAUCCAUGCACAGAUUUCGUCACACACCAGACCACAAGGCUGAUGAGACUCCCAAGAUAAGUGAAGCU